rnacentral:rRNA from 1 species
GCUAAGGUCCCCAAAUCAUCGCUAAGUGAUAAAGGAGGUGAGAGUGCACAGACAACUAGGAGGUUUGCCUAGAAGCAGCCACCCUUGAAAGAGUGCGUAAUAGCUCACUAGUCAAGCGCUCUCGCGCCGAAAAUGAACGGGGCUAAGCGAUGUACCGAAGCUGUGGGAUUUGUCUAUCGAUGAAUCGGUAGGGGAGCGUUCCGUCAUAGGUAGAAGCAGUAGCGGCAAGCAGCUGUGGACGAAACGGAAGUGAGAAUGUCGGCUUGAGUAGCGCAAAUGUAUGUGAGAAUCAUACACCCCGAAACCCUAAGGGUUCCAGAGCCAGGUUCGUCCCCUCUGGGUUAGUCGGGUCCUAAGGCGAGGUCGAAAGGCGUAGUCGAUGGACACAGGGUGAAUAAUCCCUGACUAUGAUAUGGGAGCAUUGCUUGGGACGCAUGAAAGAUAGCCAUACCCUGAUUGGUUUGGGAGGAGUUUACGAACUCCGUGUGGUGAAUGAUAGUGCCAAGAAAAGCUAGUAAUGUGAUGAACAUAUUGUACCCGUACCCGAAACCGACACAGGUAGGGAGGUUGAG